rnacentral:rRNA from 1 species
UACGUAGGCAGCAAGCGUUGUUCGGAGUUACUGGGCGUAAAGAGUGCGUAGGUGGUGCCCUAAGUCUGUUGUGAAAUCUCCCGGCUUAACUGGGAGGGUGCGGUGGAAACUGGGGUGCUUGAGUGUGGGAGAGGUAAGCGGAAUUCCUGGUGUAGCGGUGAAAUGCGUAGAUAUCAUUUGGAACGCCAAUGGUGAAAACAGGUAGCUGGGGAUGUGCUGACGCUGAGACACGAAAGCCAGGGGAGCGAACGGG